rnacentral:misc_RNA from 1 species
AAAAAUACAAACGAGUGGAUAUUCGAGCCAUUAAGAACUGGGCUCGUCAGAUCUUACAAGGCCUUGUGUAUCUACAUGGCCAUGAUCCUCCAGUAAUUCAUAGAGAUCUGAAAUGUGACAACAUCUUUGUCAACGGCCAUCUUGGACAGGUCAAAAUUGGUGAUCUUGGCCUUGCAGCAAUCCUUCGUGGCUCCAAAUCAGCACAUAGUGUCAUAGGCACCCCAGAGUUCAUGGCACCAGAAUUAUAUGAGGAGGAGUACAAUGAGCUUGUUGAUGUUUACUCAUUUGGCAUGUGUGUUUUAGAGAUGCUCACAUCUGAAUACCCUUAUAGUGAAUGUGUUAACCCAGCACAAAUUUACAAGAAAGUGACUUCGGGGAAGCU